rnacentral:rRNA from 1 species
GACGAACGCUGGCGGCGUGCUUAACACAUGCAAGUCGUACGGUAAGGCCCUUUCGGGGGUACACGAGUGGCGAACGGGUGAGUAACACGUGAGUAACCUGCCCACAACUUUGGGAUAACGCUAGGAAACUGGUGCUAAUACUGGAUAUGUGCUCCUGCUGCAUGGUGGGGGUUGGAAAGCUCCGGCGGUUGUGGAUGGACUCGCGGCCUAUCAGCUUGUUGGUGGGGUGGUGGCCUACCAAGGCGGCGACGGGUAGCCGGCCUGAGAGGGUGACCGGCCACAGUGGGACUGAGAUACGGCCCAGACUCCGACGGGAGGCAGAAGUGGGGAAUAUUGCACAAUGGGCGCAAGCCUGAUGCAGCAACGCCGCGGGCGGGAUGACGGCCUUCGGGUUGGAAACCGAUUUCAGCAGGGACGAAGCUUUUUGUGACGGUACCUGCAGAAGAAGCACCGGCUAACUACGUG